CGUAGGGUCGAGCGUUGUCCGGAGUUACUGGGCGUAAAGCGCAUGCAGGCGGCUCAUUACGCAUGGCGUGAAAGCCCCGGCUCAACCGGGAGGGUCGUCGUGAACGGGUGAGCUUGAGGGUAUCAGGGGCUGGUGGAAUUCCCGGUGUAGUGGUGAAAUGCGUAGAGAUCGGGAGGAACACCUGUGGCGAAGGCGGCCAGCUGGGAUACACCUGACGCUGAGAUGCGAAAGGCGUGGGGGAGCGAACGGGAUU
rnacentral:rRNA from 1 species